UACGUAGGCAGCGAGCGUUGUUCGGAGUUACUGGGCGUAAAGGGUGUGUAGGCGGUUGUUUAAGUUUGGUGUGAAAUCUCCCGGCUCAACUGGGAGGGUGCGCCGAAUACUGAAUGACUAGAGUGCGGGAGAGGAAAGUGGAAUUCCUGGUGUAGCGGUGAAAUGCGUAGAUAUCAGGAGGAACACCGGUGGUGUAGACGGCUUCUGGACCGUAACUGACGCUGAGACGCGAAAGCGUGGGGAGCGAACAGG
rnacentral:rRNA from 1 species